UAGCUCAGUUGGUAGAGCAUGGUGUUUGCAACGCCAGGGUUGUGGGUUCGUUUUCCCAC
rfam:Salmo salar isolate Sally breed double haploid chromosome ssa14, whole genome shotgun sequence.